rnacentral:tRNA from 1 species
AGCUCCGAUUUUUCGAACUGCAAAUUCGAUUUAGCAGCUUCAAUUCUGCCGGGGCUU